UACGUAGGGGGCGAGCGUUGUCCGGAAUUAUUGGGCGUAAAGAGCGCGUAGGCGGCCCUGUAAGUCCGCUGUGAAAGUCAAGGGCUCAACCCUGAAUGCCGAUGGAUACUGCGAGGCUAGAGUCCGGAAGAGGCGAGUGGAAUUCCUGGUGUAGCGGUGAAAUGCGCAGGAUAUCAGGAGGAACACCAAUGGCGAAGGCAGCUCGCUGGGACGGUACUGACGCUGAGACGCGAAAGCGUGGGAGCAAACAGG
rnacentral:rRNA from 1 species